GUUAUUUUGAAAAAUUAUGUAAAGAACUGCAAACUGAAUCAGUUCAUUUAAAAAUCUGUAAAUUUUCACUGGGAGUAGGAAAGAGAAGCACAAAUAUGGCAGUGAUAGGUGAGCUAGGGAGAUAUCCUUUAUUUAUUGAAGUUAUAGUUAAUAUGUUUUCAUACUUAUCACGUUUAACAAGUACAGAGGACCAAUUAUUGUCUGAAGCUCUCCUUGUAUCAAAAUCCUUAUCAAACCAUAGUAAGAAAAGUUGGUUUAAUUCUAUAAGUUCACUAGCAAAAUACUUAGACA
rnacentral:lncRNA from 1 species